CCUACGGGUGGCUGCAGUGAGGAAUAUUGGUCAAUGGGCGCGAGCCUGAACCAGCCAAGUCGCGUGAAGGAUGACGGCCCUACGGGUUGUAAACUUCUUUUGUCCGGGAGCAAUCGGGUCCACGCGUGGGCUUAGCGAGAGUACCUGAAGAAAAAGCAUCGGCUAACUCCGUGCAAGCAGCCGCGGUAAUACGGGGGAUGCGAGCGUUAUCCGGAUUUAUGGGGUUUAAAGGGUGCGUAGGCGGAAUAUCAAGUCGGCGGGAAAAAUUCGGGGCUCAACCCCGUCGUUCCGUUAAAACUGAUGGUAUUGAGAGGGCGUGAAGUAUGCGGAAUGCGUGGUGUAGCGGGGAAAUGCAUAGAGAUCACGCAGAACUCCGAUUGCGAAGGCAGCAUACCGGCGCCCAACUGACGCUGAAGCACGAAAGCGUGGGUAUCGAACAGGAUUAGAUACCCGGGUAGUC
rnacentral:rRNA from 1 species